GAUCAAACUAUAAGACGUGGUGGUUGGCAAAUAACUACCGAAUCGGAAUACUGCCUUGUUGCAGGAUCCAUAUUCGCUGCGAUGCUGACCG
rnacentral:sRNA from 18 species